rnacentral:rRNA from 1 species
GAUGAACGCUGGCGGCAGGCCUAACACAUGCAAGUCGAACGAGUGGCGGACGGGUGAGUAAUGUCUGGGAAACUGCCCGAUGGCGGGGGAUAACUACUGGAAACGGUAGCUAAUACCGCAUACCAUCGGAUGUGCCACGAGGGGAUUAGCUUGUAGGUGAGGUAACGGCUCACCUAGGCGACGAUCCCUAGCUGGUCUGAGAGGAUGACCAGCCACUCUGGGACUUAGACACGGUCCAGACUCCUACGGGAGGCAGCAGUGGGGAAUAUUGCACAAUGGGCGAAAGCCUGAUGCAGCCAUGCCGCGUGUAUGAAGAAGGCCUUCGGGUUGUAAAGUACUUUCAGCGGGGAGGCGUUACCCGCAGAAGAAGCACCGGCUAACUCCGUGCCAGCAGCCGCGGUAAUAC